GUCGAACGGAUAUCUUCGGAUAUGAGUGGCGAACGGGUGAGUAACACGUAGGGAACCUGCCUGCAUGAGCGGGAGAACUUCUGGAAACGGAAGCUGAUACCGGAUGAGCAAAGAGGAGGCAUCUUCUUUUUGGAAAAGGGGACAAGAGUCCCGCAUGCAGAUGGACCUGCGGUGCAUUAGCUGGUUGGAGAGGUAACGGCUCACCAAGGCGACGAUGCAUAGCCGGCCUGAGAGGGCGGACGGCCACACUGGGACUGAGACACGGCCCAGACUCCUGCGGGAGGCAGCAGUAGGGAAUUUUCGUCAAUGGGGGGAACCCUGAACGAGCAAUGCCGCGUGAGCGAGGAAGGUCUUCGGAUCGUAAAGCUCUGUUGCCGGGGACAAAAGGCAGAAAGAGUGGAAAGCUUUCUGAGUGAUGGUACCCGGCGAGGAAGUCACGGCUAACUACGUGCCAGCAGCCGCGGUAAUACGUAGGUGGCGAGCGUUAUCCGGAAUGAUUGGGCGUAAAGGGUGCGCAGGCGGUCGGGCAAGUCCGCAGUAAAAACUGGAGGCUCAACCUUCAGGGGCUGCGGAAACUGUCCGGCUGGAGAGCAGGAGAGGACGGUGGAACUCCAUGUGUAGCGGUAAAAUGCGUAGAUAUAUGGAAGAACACCGGUGGCGAAGGCGGCCGUCUGGCCUGCAUCUGACGCUGAGGCACGAAAGCGUGGGGAG
rnacentral:rRNA from 1 species